AUGUGCUCCCUGUGUUCCUUACUGCUAAUAAUUGUCUUGCUGCCUGGAACAAAUGGUAAAGAUUCAGUGUCCCAGGAUCUCCCUGAAUUAACGGUUCUGGAAGGACAGAGCAUAACACUGGACUGUAAUUACUCGACAACUUAUGCCCCAACUCUGUUCUGGUACAUCCAGUACCCCGGAGAAGGUCCGAGAUAUUUAAUGAGGAUAUAUAGCUUGGGGGAUGCAGAGAAGUCUCCAGAUUUCCCAGACAGGUUCUCAGCUGUGUUGCACAAAGGAAGCAAAACGGUUCCUUUAAAUGUCACCGGGACUCUUCUCUCCGACAGCGCCGUGUAUUUCUGUGCCAUGGACGCCACACUGCUGCAGAGAAAUAGCGGAUCCCGUGCAGCCAGAAUGUUCAGCGGCGCUGUCAGCCGCUCAAACACAAACCGAGAGGAAAACACAUUCACCUCGGUUCAAACUGUCAACAACUGCAGCGGCCGAGAAAACAAAGUGCAGAUUCCGAACCGACCGACAGAUAAAUUACCAAAUGAGUCUACAGUUUAA